AUUGAACGCUGGCGGCAGGCCUAACACAUGCAAGUCGAGCGGAUGAAGGGAGCUUGCUCCUGGAUUCAGCGGCGGACGGGUGAGUAAUGCCUAGGAAUCUGCCUGGUAGUGGGGGAUAACGUCCGGAAACGGGCGCUAUACCGCAUACGGCCUGAGGGGGAAAGGGGGGGAUCUUCGGAACUCACGCUAUCAGAUGAGCCUAGGUCGGAUUAGCUAGUUGGUGGGGUAAAGGCCUACCAAGGCGACGAUCCGUAACUGGUCUGAGAGGAUGAUCAGUCACACUGGAACUGAGACACGGUCCAGACUCCUACGGGAGGCAGCAGUGGGGAAUAUUGGACAAUGGGCGAAAGCCUGAUCCAGCCAUGCCGCGUGUGUGAAGAAGGUCUUCGGAUUGUAAAGCACUUUAAGUUGGGAGGAAGGGCAGUAAGUUAAUACCUUGCUGUUUUGACGUUACCAACAGAAUAAGCACCGGCUAACUUCGUG
rnacentral:rRNA from 1 species